CCUACGGGUGGCAGCAGUGAGGAAUAUUGGUCAAUGGUCGGGAGACUGAACCAGCCAAGCCGCGUGAGGGAUGAAGGUACAGAGUAUCGUAAACCUCUUUUGUCAGGGAACAAAGGCGUGGACGUGUCCCCGGCUGAGUGUACCUGAAGAAAAAGCAUCGGCUAACUCCGUGCCAGCAGCCGCGGUAAUACGGAGGAUGCGAGCGUUAUCCGGAUUUAUUGGGUUUAAAGGGUGCGCAGGCGGUCUGUUAAGUCAGCGGUCAAAGCCCGCGGCUCAACCCCGGCCCGCCGUGGAAACUGGCAGUCGCGAGUUGGAGAGAAGGAUGCGCAAUGCGAGGUGUAGCGGUGAAAUGCAUAGAUAUCGCGCAGAACUCCGAUUGCGAAGGCAGCAUGCCGGCUCCAAACUGACGCUGAGGCACGAAAGCGGGGGGAUCGAACAGGAUUAGAUACCCCUGUAGUC
rnacentral:rRNA from 1 species